rnacentral:rRNA from 1 species
GAUGAAUUGUGGGUAGCGGAGAAAUUCCAAUCGAACCCGGAGAUAGCUGGUUCUCUCCGAAAUAGCUUUAGGGCUAGCCUCGACUGAACAUUACCGGAGGUAGAGCACUGAAUGGGCUAGGGGCCGAGAGGUUACUGAACCCUAUCAAACUUCAAAUGCCGGAAAAUGAUAGUCGGGAGUCAGACUGCGUGAGAUAAGUUUCGUAGUCGAAAGGGAAACAGCCCAGACCCACAGCUAAGGUCCCAAAGUACGGUUAAGUGGAAAAGGAUGUGGAGUUGCACAGACAACCAGGAUGUUGGCUUAGAAGCAGCCACUCAUUAAAAGAGUGCGUAAUAGCUCACUGGUCGAGUGACUCUGCGCCGAAAAUUUAACGGGGCUAAAUCGUACACCGAAGCUUGGGAUGUAUCUAUGAUACAUGGUAGGAGAGCGUUGAAUGCGGGGUGAAGUCAGAGCGAAAGCGCUGGUGGACUGCAUUGAAGUGAGAAUGCCGGAAUGAGUAGCGAGAUUUAUGUGAGAAUCAUAAAGGCCGAAAGACUAAGGUUUCAGAAGGAAGGUUCGUCCGCUUCUGGUUAGCCGGGAGCUAAGGUGAGGCCGAAAGGCGUAGCCGAUGCACAUACGGUGGAGAUUCCGUAGCCGUCGAAAUAUUUAAGCAAAGGGACACUUAUGAAGGACAUGACCCGGGCGAUGGUAGCCCCGGGCGUAAGGGACUGAAAACAAGUAAGGAAGCAUGUUUGGAUUAAGGCGAGAAAAGCUUUGUGUAUAUAUGAGACGUCCGUACCGCAAACCGACACAGGUAGUCAGGAAGAGGAUUCUAAGGCCAACGGGAGAAGGGUAGUUAAGGAACUCGGCAAAUUGACCCCGUAACUUCGGGAUAAGGGGCGGUGCGUAAGCACCCGCAGUGAAUAGGUCCAGGCGACUGUUUAUCAAAAACACAGCUCUCUGCUAAAUCGAAAGAUGACGUAUAGGGGGUGACACCUGCCCGGUGCUGGAAGGUUAAGAGGAGGAGUGCAAGCUCCGAAUUGAAGCCCCAGUAAACGGCGGCCGUAACUAUAACGGUCCUAAGGUAGCGAAAUUCCUUGUCGGGUAAGUUCCGACCCGCACGAAUGGUGUAACGAUCUGGACGCUGUCUCAACUGCCCACCCGGCGAAAUUGUAGUACCGGUGAAGAUGCCGGUUACCCGCGGCAAGACGGAAAGACCCCAUGGAGCUUUACUGUAACUUGAUAUUGGGUCUUGGUAUUCUAUGUACAGGAUAGGCGGGAGACUAUGAAACAUACACGCCAGUGUAUGCGGAGUCACCCUUGGGAUACCGCUCUUAGAGUACUGAGAUUCUAACCUGCGGCCGUGAAUCCGGUCGGGGGACAUUGUCAGGUGGGCAGUUUGACUGGGGCGGUCGCCUCCUAAAAGGUAACGGAGGCGCUCAAAGGUUAGCUCAGCACGGUCGGAAACCGUGCCUCUGAGUGCAAACGCAAAAGCUAGCCUAACUGCGAGGCUGACGGGCCGAGCAGUAACGAAAGUUGGAGUUAGUGAUCCGGCGGUAUGUGAAUGGAAAUGCCGUCGCUCAACGGAUAAAAGCUACCCUGGGGAUAACAGGCUGAUCU